rnacentral:rRNA from 1 species
GGUAAUGGCUCACCAAGGCGACGAUGCGUAGCCGACCUGAAGGGUGAUCGGCCACACUGGACUGAGCCGGCCCAGAUCCUACGGGAGGCAGCAGUAGGAAUCUUCCGCAAUGGACGAAAGUCUGACGGAGCAACGCCGCUGAUGAUGAAGGUUUUCGGAUCGUAAAGCUCUGUUGUUAGGGAAGAACAAGUGCGAGAGUAACUGCUCGCACCUUGACGGUACCUAACCAGAAAGCCACGGCUAACUACGUGCCAGCAGCCGCGGUAAUACGUAGGUGGCAAGCGUUGUCCGGAAUUAUUGGGCGUAAAGGGCUCGCAGGCGGUUUCUUAAGUCUGAUGUGAAAGCCCCCGGCUCAACCGGGGAGGGUCAUUGGAAACUGGGAAACUUGAGUGCAGAAGAGGAGAGUGGAAUUCCACGUGUAGCGGUGAAAUGCGUAGAGAUGUGGAGGAACACCAGUGGCGAAGGCGACUCUCUGGUCUGUAACUGACGCUGAGGAGCGAAAGCGUGGGGAGCGAACAGGAUUAGAUACCCUGGUAGUCCACGCCGUAAACGAUGAGUGCUAAGUGUUAGGGGGUUUCCGCCCCUUAGUGCUGCAGCUAACGCAUUAAGCACUCCGCCUGGGGAGUACGGUCGCAAGACUGAAACUCAAAGGAAUUGACGGGGGCCCGCACAAGCGGUGGAGCAUGUGGUUUAAUUCGAAGCAACGCGAAGAACCUUACCAGGUCUUGACAUCCUCUGACAACCCUAGAGAUAGGGCUUUCCCUUCGGGGACAGAGUGACAGGUGGUGCAUGGUUGUCGUCAGCUCGUGUCGUGAGAUGUUGGGUUAAGUCCCGCAACGAGCGCAACCCUUGAUCUUAGUUGCCAGCAUUCAGUUGGGCACUCUAAGGUGACUGCCGGUGACAAACCGGAGAAGGUGGGGAUGACGUCAAAUCAUCAUGCCCCUUAUGACUGGGCUACCGUGCUAAUGGAACAAAGGGCUGCAAAACCGCAGGUUUAACCAAUCCCAAAAU